UGCUGUCGUUCCCUCGGACCAGCGCGGGAAAUUGCUUCAUCACAUAAUUUUUUUCUACAUUUACCGAGAAUAGCCAAGUGCGGGUUGGCAGCCGGUGUUUGUUUCGUUAAAUAGUUAUGUACCGAGCAGUUUGAAGUCUUUUUCUCUCUGUGUGUGUUUCCCCGGGCCUCAUUGGCAGCAGCAGCAGCCGCCCCCUCCUCCUUCUCAUCCUCCCCGCGAGCCGGCUGGUACUAACGGCUCCGGGCUCGAAUCCGCUUCCCAACCGCCGCUAACCUCCCAGUUCCCGGAUGAGCUCCUUCAACCUCGACCGUUUCCGUUACGAAAAGAAACGCGGUGCCAGCGGCGACCGGGACCUGGACCGACAGCAUAACACCCCGCGGGAUCCCGGCCUCCGGGAGGUGGAAGGCCCGGCAGUGACCAUUGUACCAGAGACUCCAGAAGGAAAGCAGUCGAAGUUAUUAUCAUAUUUUGGGAGAAAAGAAAAGGGAGUUCUUUUUCUUGGCUCUGAAUCUGAAUCAACAUGCAAGAAAAAUUUAUCAUGUCAAGUAGUGAAUGGAAGGCUGGACGGAUGCAUUCAAAAAUUAAAUGACCCUGAUGACUUUUCAUCUGGUGUGGAUGAACAGCUUUCCCCAAAAGCAAAUGGAUCUUUUCUGGACAGCAGUGGCUCGUCUCAUUCUGUUGACAUGGGGGAUUCUAUUGCUUCCAAAGUACAAAAACUGACAGAAAUAUUUCCAAAUAGAACAGAAUCUGAACUAUUGCCGAUAAUUGAAUCAACAAGUACACUGGAUGGAGCGGUAGCUGCAGGAUUAAUCUUGUUUGGAGAAGCAGUUACUCCUCGGAAAAGGAAAGUUGAAAUGUCCCAAAGCAACAGCUCUGAAGAAAAUGAUGAUCUACCUAUUUCCCGUACCAAGAAGAAGAAACCUAAUUGUCCUGAGUCACAAGAUUUAGUAGAAGAUUUUGAGAAAAAAGAAUCUGUCCUGAGAAAGCUUCACAAUAAGUUUCCAGAUUUAGACAAAGAGGAACUCAGGGAAGUCCUGGAAGAACAUGACUGGUCCUUUUGGGAGGCCUUGGAAGCUUUGCAGGCAUUUACCAAUCAAGAAGAUGAAGUGCCUUGUAUGCCAGAGCCUAAAAGUGUAAAUGGAAAAGGUGCCACCUCACAUUUUAAAGUGCAACUGAAAGAAUUGCCAGCAGUGCAGUUGAAACAAUCUGGAGCAGCGAAAGGUCAGAAUGGUAAAAGCAAAAAACAUGGCAAAGGACAAAAUGAUGGUAGAAGCGUUCAAAGGGAAUGUAGCGAUUCUGAAGAUGUGGGAUCCACUCAUUCUGGUGGUGAGAGCUCACUUGAUGAAGACUAUAGUAGUGCAGAUGAAGAAAUGGAAGAUGAAUACAGGACUAAAAUAGUCAGCUUCUUGCAGGACGGUACAGUGGAUGAACUUUCUCUUAUACCUCAAUGUUCUUUGAGAAAGGCUCAGAAGAUUAUAGAACUCCGGCCCUUUAACAAUUGGGAAUCACUGUUUAAAAAGUUUAAUCGGUCACAUGGUUUGUGUGAAGAUUUGAUAUGGAACUGCAAAACAGUAAUCAAGGAACGGGAAGUAGUUCUUAAACUUAUGAACAGAUGUGCUGAAAUCUCCCAAAGAUUAGAAAAGCAAGUGACAGAAAUAACAGGAGAUGGUGGAAGUCACCAGACCAUUGAACAGCCUGUCAUUCUGAACAAAAGCUUGGAGCUUAAACCGUAUCAACUAGUCGGACUGAAUUGGUUAGUUUUGCUGAACAAACAUCGAGUGAAUGGUAUAUUAGCGGAUGAAAUGGGACUGGGGAAAACUGUACAGGCUAUAUCAUUCCUUGCCUACCUUUACCAAGAAGGAGAUAAAGGACCACAUCUGAUUAUUGUACCUGCCUCAACCCUAGACAACUGGAUCCGAGAACUUAAACAGUGGUGCCCUGAUCUCAAGGUGCUCCUUUAUUAUGGAUCUUUAGAAGACCGGAAAGUCCUAAGAUCCGAUAUACUUCACAAGUUUGUGGAUUUCAAUGUAGUCGUGACUACGUACAGCUGCUCAAUAAGUAAUGCAGAUGACCGCAGUCUCUUUCGACGUUUAAAGCUCCAUUACGCAGUUUUUGAUGAAGGACACAUGCUGAAAAAUAUGAGUUCCAUUCGAUAUCAGCAUCUUAUGACAUUUAAUGCUGAACAUCGCUUGCUGUUGACUGGGACUCCACUGCAGAAUAAUCUCCUAGAAUUGAUGUCUCUGUUGAAUUUUGUUAUGCCAAACAUGUUCAGCAGUAGUACCAGUGAGAUUCGCAGAAUGUUUUCAUCCAAAACAAAAAUCUUGGAACAGCAAAGUAGUUUUGAAAAAGGGAGAAUUGUUCAUGCCAAAAAGAUCAUGAAGCCAUUUAUCCUGAGAAGAGUAAAGAGUGAGGUCUUACAACAGCUUCCACCCAAACAAGACCGCGUAGAGAUAUGUUCAAUGUCUGAUAAACAAGAACAGGCAUACGCUGCUCUCUACAAGAAGUUGAAGAGAUCGAUCAACAGUAAUGAAAAGAAUGAGUUAUGCAAUGUGAUGAUGCAACUUCGAAAGAUGGCCAACCACCCUCUACUCCAUAGGCAGUAUUACACUGUGGAAAAGCUGAGGAAAAUGGCCAAGCUGAUGAAAAAGGAGCCCACUCACAGAGAUGCCAAUCCUGAUCUCAUCUUUGAAGACAUGGAGGCAAUGACAGAUUUUGAAUUGCACCACUUGUGUCAAGAGUACAGCAGUAUAAGAAGCUUUCAGUUAGAAAUGGAGUUGCUCUUGGAUUCCGGAAAGUUCCAAAUUUUGGAGAAUAUACUUGCAGAACUAAAGGAUGAGGGUUCUAGAGUUGUCCUCUUUAGCCAGUUUACUAUGAUGUUGGACAUUCUAGAAGUAUUCUUGAAACACCAUAAGCACAGAUAUCUUCGGCUGGACGGCAAAACCCAAAUUUCUGACAGCCUCGGUUUAAACGGACAAACAAGCUGAAUUCCAGAGAUGAGGUGAGAAUGACAGUCCCUGACCGAGUGUGGCAUCAAGGAGCCCUAACAAAACUGGAAUCGGUAAGUAUCACAGUCAAAGUCUCCACAGGCUAGAGUCAUACCUGGCACAUAGGAAGAUGGUUGUGAUCGUUGGAGGUCAGUCAUCUCAAAUCCAGGACAUCCCUCCAGGAAUUCUACAGGAUAGUGUCCCAGACCCAAUCAUCUUCAGCUGCUUCACCAUUGACUUUCCCUCCAUCAUAAGGUCAGAAGUGGGGAUGUUCACUGAUGAUUAUGCAAUGUUCAGCACUGUUCACUUCUCAGAUACUGAAGCAGCCCUUGUUCAAAUGGAGCAAGAUCUGGACAAUAUCUGGGUUUUUGUUGAUAACUGGCAAGUAACAUUUGUGUCAGACAAAUACCAGGCAAUGACAUCUCCAAUAAGAGACCAUCUAUCCGCCGUCCUUUGGCAUUACCAUCACUGAAUCCCCCACCAUCAAUACCCUUGGGGUUACCAUUAACCAGAAAUUCAACUGGACUUGUCACAUAAAUGCAGUGGCUAUGAGAGCAGGUCAGAGUCUAGGAAAACUGUGGCAAGUAACUCACCUCCUGACUCCAUAGGGCCUGAUCACACUCGACCAGGCACAAUUCAGGAAUGUGAUGGACUACUUCACACUUGCCUGGAUGGGUGCAACUCCGGCAACACUCAAGAAAGUUGACAUAAUCCAGGAAAAAGUAGCCUGCUUGUCUGUCACCACAUCCACAAGCAUCAUUCCCUCCACUGACGCUCAGUAGCAGCAGUGUGUACUGUUUACAAGAUGCAGUUCAGAAAUUCACCAAAGAUCCUUAGAUAGCACUUUGCAAACCCAUGACCGUUUCCAUCUAGAAGGACAAGGGCAGCAGAUACAUGGGAACAACACCACCCACAAGUUCCCCUCAGAGCUCCUCCCCAUUGUGACUUAGAAAUACAUUGCUGGUCCCUUCACUGUUGCUCAAUCAAAAUGCUGGAACAGCCCUGCUAAGGGCAUUGUGGGUCAGACUGCAGCAGUUCAAGGAGGUGGCUCACCACCACCUUCUCCAGAGUAGCUAGGGAGUGGCAAUUAAAAUCCUGGCCAGCCAGUGAUAUCCACAUCCUGUAAGUGAAUAUUUAAAAUAAAGGAGUUUUGCUUCAGAAUUCUUUUAGAAAUUGUCUUCUGUGAAUCUCAAUGCGAAUUUUUCCUCAAACAUGAGCUUUCUGUUUAGUAACUUCAAAAUCCAAAGCCUGCUUAGAACUUUAUUGUUAGUGUUUUUAUUCUGGAUAACCUCCGGAUCUAAGUGCAUCAUUAACAAUUGAAUUAUAUUAAAAUGUUUUUCACUUUCUUUUUCUGUUUCUAUCUGAGGAUUUUAUUGUGCUUAUUACUUAUUGCCAUGUGGUUUGCUUUUCCUGAAUCAGAUUUUUUUGGUGUCUCUGGAAGUAAUGUUUUAUUAGUGGAGCUAGUUGCUUUUGAAUAAGUGCUUGUAACUUUUCAAGGUAUGUAUUUUUUUGAGGUGGCCCAAGUUGAAAUAAUGUCCAGGAAGUCUGGAUUAUGCAAGAAGCCUGAACAUUCUAAAAAAUCCACUUGAUUGAUCAAUUUAAUACAGAUAUGGAUAUUUUUGUUUUCCUGUUAUCAACUAAAGCUGGAGGACUGGGUAUAAACCUAACCUCCGCUAACAUUGUCAUCCUUCA